CUACGGGUUGCACCAGUGAGGAAUAUUGCACAAUGGAGGAAACUCUGAUGCAGCAACGCCGCGUGGAGGAUGACGCAUUUCGGUGUGUAAACUCCUUUUAUAUGUCAAGAAAAUGACGGUAGCAUAUGAAUAAGCACCGGCUAACUCCGUGCCAGCAGCCGCGGUAAUACGGAGGGUGCAAGCGUUACUCGGAAUCACUGGGCGUAAAGGACGCGUAGGCGGGAUAUCAAGUCAGGUGUGAAAUCCUACAGCUUAACUGUAGAACUGCACUUGAAACUGGUAACCUAGAGUAUGGGAGGGGGAGAUGGAAUUAGUGGUGUAGGGGUAAAAUCCGUAGAUAUCACUAGGAAUACCUAAAGCGAAGGCGAUCUCCUGGAACAUAACUGACGCUAAGGCGUGAAAGCGUGGGGAGCAAACAGGAUUAGAUACCCUCGUAGUC
rnacentral:rRNA from 1 species